rnacentral:lncRNA from 1 species
GCUUCAACAUUGCGUGAUCUCGUUAAGGUAGUGGAGAAACUUUCACACAAAGUCACAGUAAAAAUACACGAGUGGUGUAAGAUAGAACCGGAAACAGAGUUUGAACACGUUAAACAAUAUAUACACUCAUCUCAGAAUUUCCGAGUUACGAAGGAUGAACGUGGUAGGCGGGGGGAGUUUGUGUUUGAAACAAAUGUUGACAGUUAAGUUACUAUAUAAACUCAGACAUAUAGUGUCAAUGUAUAUAAACAUUAUUCAUAACACAUAUUACACCUUUACACACAGACAUAUAACAUUUUUGUGACAUACAUAUGUGUAGAUAAUUAAAAAUAGUGACAGUCGCGUGUGGAAAAUUAAUUGUUGGAGCCAAUUCGGAGGAAAGGAUGGACAUUCUUAUACAUGGAUUAAUAUACAAAUCAGUUUCCUUCAUACUUCAGAUAAAAGAUCAACGCCAACACCUCAAAACUAUAGACGUAUUUCCGGUGGCCAUGCUACGUACAUAUCGCCAUAAAAUACGUGGAUUUACAAUUGGCCAGGCCGCAAAUACUUCUGGACCAUAGAUCUAUACUUCCGGUGGCUAGGCUACACACACCAUGAUAUACUUGGCAUCACCUCCUGUUUCCGGCCAUUGGACAUGAAACAUUGCAGGACUUUCAUCGUGCUAUACCCAAAAUUCUGUGAGAAAAACUGCUUUCAGUUAUAAAUUUUCGUUACAGAGACAAAUCAUUCUGAAUUUCUUAUUAGUUAGUAAUGAAAUGUCUGACUUUCACUUUUGUAAACACAUCGCUUUUGAACUUUUUUCUUAUAAGAAACGUUAAUAUGUAAAGUUUUGUAUGUACGUUAGUAUUAUGUGGAAGGCUUUCAAAAAGUCACACGCGCUGUCAUAAGUCUUUUUUUUUCAGAAAGGUUUGAUUUAGCUUCAUUAUAUGCUAAUUGCGAACAAUGGUUUAUUGUUAUUUUAGGAUAAUAGAUUUAAAAUAUCUGGAAAUUGCCGUUUUAUGGCAAAUACAUGUACAACGAAAUUUGCUGUGUUUGACAUACCGCGGCAAAGAUGGAAUUGUUGAAAUAUUAAAUGCAUUUUGCUCUAAGAAACAAAUACUUUGUGGGGCAUAUUUUCAUGUCGUUUUCAAAAUCACUAUUUGUUUGCAUAGUCCGUAGCCAUAUACUACAACAUCUAUUAUUUACAUGGCGAAGUCUUCUAAUUAAAGGACUAUUUCUCUAAUAUGACAUGUACUUUUUGUAGAAAAUUAUUUAUUCUUAGCAGACGACAUUCAUAAUUACAAUAGAAAGAACAUAUUUAUACGAAAACACUAUAGAGUCCGAAGCGGACUUUUCAUCCUUUUGAUAAAAACGUUAAACUGGGAAUCAUUUUGUUUCAUUUUAUUGUGAAAAGUCUUUGAUUAAACAGUAGAUGACAGCUUUCUAAUGUGCACAGAGACUACCUGUAUUAAUAAAUCACUUAAUGAACGGAAUGACUAUUUUUAUCUCUACAUGAAAUUUUAUAAAGCCUCACUUAUUUGUACUUAUUAAGCGAAAAGAUUUUGCAAGUCAACAAAAGUUAAAUUACGAAAAAGGGUCCUACGACCGUUAAAACAAAUAUUGCCUGAAACAUAAGUGUAUAAUUGUUAUAUUAUUUGCCCUUCUCAAAUGCAAUCAUUUAUCUGGCCUGUAUUUCGUACAUAUAGGAAAAAGUGAUAUCAGAAGAGUCAUUAUCAUUUUUGCGAGUCAAUAUCGCUUUUGCCGACCUGCGCAUGCAUCCCUUUCGACCAAUCAAAUGAACGAAUUUGAGAAGUGUAUAUAAUAUUACAUUUUAUGCAGGUCUUCUUUUUCUAAAGGAAGAAAGUCGUUUCCUUUCUGAACUAUAGCAGUUACUUUGUGUAUAUACAGUUGAUAGACUAUUGUAGAUAUAUUGUCUGUAUCCCUUAGUUAAUUUGUAUUAUAUAUGUAACUGUUUUGAGUUUUACGAGUUAUGUUUAUUGUUUGUUUAUGAAAAGAACACAUGAUAAUAUAUAAAUUAUGUUUUAAAUUAAAUGUAAACAUCGUUACUAGUGACACGUUAUUUGAUCAUCUGAGAGCAUAAAAUGCUCAAAGUGAGCUAUUGUGAUCGUCCUGUUUCCGUUCCCGGCUGUUGUCAACAAUUUAGGCACAAUUUCAAUGAAACUUGGUCGAAAUGUUGCCCUUGAUAAAAUCUUGGUCAAGAUUGUUGAAUUGUUAAAUAAAUCUUAAGAAUUUGGUCAAUUACUGGAAACAUAAUUAAAUCUCUAGACGCUGCAUUCUCUAUUUUAUCUUCAUAAACCAUUUCCAGAAUGUUAACAUAUAUAAAAUUUAAGUCAAGUUUGAAACCUGAUCAUUUCAGUUCAAAAACUAGGUCACUAGGUCAAAUCAUAGAUAAAUCAAAUUAACACAGUAGAGACAACGUUCUAUAACACUUUGCGAGAAUGUUUGCACUCUGUAAUGUAGGUCAUUUUCAAAUUGGGUUAACCGAGGUCUUAAAGUUACAUUAUAAGGCUUUUAAGUUUAUAGAUAUAGCAGCUGUCAGUUUAAAUGUUAUGCAUAAUUAAACGGUCCUUACACAGUAAUGGACUUUACACAGUUAGGACCAUAAAGGGAGACAAUCUUAGAUGAUUGAUUGAAUGAUAUCUUCUACGAUGUCAAUUGAUAUUCAAACCUUUGGCAAAUAUAUGAGGAAACAAUUACUGAAAUAAGGAUUUGUUAAGAAAUAGACAUAUUUGAAGGUCAGAACAAAAAAAUGCGGCAGCCAUAUUUUGAACAAAGACAUUAUGAGCCUUUAAACUGUGUCACUAAGUCAAAUGAUUAUGAGCCUUUAAACUGUGUCACUAAGUCAAGUGAUUAUGAGCCUUUAAACUGUGUCACUAAGUCAAAUGAUUAUGAGUCUUUAAACUGUGUCAAUAAGUCAAAUGAUUAUGAGCCUUUAAACUGUGUCAAUAAGUCAAAUGUUUCUACAUGAACACGAUAAAUCUUUGUCAGUCUUUGUAUGUGAAAAAUAUAGGUCAGUUUCAAAAACUUGGUUACUUAUUGUUUUAAACUUGACCUUAUGCCUAGAACUAGAACUUACGCUCUAGAGGAAUUGCAGUGUAUUGUAAGAACCAUAAUUUUGCCUUGCUUCCUUGUGGAUUAUCUCCCUUUUAAGCUUACCUUGACACACAGUGUUCGGGAUGAGCUCUUGUGAUCACCCACCACCGUAAGUCGCCGUCCGUCUUAACUUUUCUUCGAAAGACAUAUUCUCUGAGACCAUUUGGCGGAAGUUCAUGUAACUGUGCCUUGUAUAGCCCUUUACCAAAGUUAUUUUAAUGUUGUUCCCUGCAGAACACUUAGUUGCAUUCGAUGAUUAUUAAGCGGUAAAAGUGCCUACAUAUUUUGGUUUUCAUGUCUAGGAACCCUGGGCCCUGAAUAAGCGGUAUUUCACCCAUUUUGUAUCAUUGUGUGUGAUAAGGAAUUGACUCAGAGAAUGAAAAUGUUUAUGGAAGUUAUAAAGUGUGACAGCUACUUGCUUUCAGAAUUACAUAAUGAUAUGGUAGAUCUGAGGAAUUUACCCAUUGAUUUUGGGAUCAGUGACUCGAAUAUCAAGGUUGCAGGCACCUGAUAUGAUUUCUGGUAAUUUUUGUGUUUUUGAACAAAGAGACUAUAACAGCUUUAGUUUGCUCAUUUUUCUUGUUCACGAGGCAAUUUUCUAUUGUUUGUUUGGUUUGUAGGUUAAAGGUCAGGGUCAUUGUUG